rnacentral:lncRNA from 1 species
CUCUGAGCGCGCCCCUACCCGGCUCGGGCCCGCAGCAGCCCCGACUGUCCGAGAGCCUCUCCGCAAGCAAGGCUCUGCGCCGCCCUCUGAGCCCACCUCCUGGCCACAACGCCGCCUGCGCUUCUCCAGCCCAGGCCGGAAGCCCUACGCUGCCUCCUGAAGCCGGACUUUCUGGAAGCCCAUCUCCGUAUGCUCACCAGCCCACCCUCCUACGCUGGUCAGAGUGAGAUUGCUAACCUCAAGACCCCAUUCAAUGCCAGCUUUCAACUGCUGCUGAAGACCAAUGUAGGUCCUGGAUUAGAAGAACCGCAGAGUCUUGGCUUUUGCUUUUGUGUGUCCACCUCGAGCAGAUCCGGAGCUGGCCGACCCCAGACUGAUUCUCAACAGGUGGCUGGAUGCAGACAAAAGCUACCAUGUCCGCUUGGAGUGACACCCAGACAUGCACAGAGAUGUACAGGAAGCCAAGGAGAGUGGGAUCAAUCAGAGUACAGUACAAGUACAGAGUACAGUGCAAGAUGCCCAGG